rnacentral:rRNA from 1 species
UACGAAGGGGGCUAGCGUUGUUCGGAAUUACUGGGCGUAAAGCGCGUGUAGGCGGGUCUUUUAAGUCAGGGGUGAAAUGCCAAGGCUCAACCUUGGAACUGCCUUUGAUACUGGAGACCUUGAGUCCGGGAGAGGUGAGUGGAAUUGCGAGUGUAGAGGUGAAAUUCGUAGAUAUCUGGAGGAAUACCGGUGGCGAAGGCGGCAUCCUGGACCAUUACUGACGCUGAGGCGCGAAAGCUAGGGGAGCAAACGGG